rnacentral:rRNA from 1 species
UAUGUAGGUGGCAAGCGUUGUCCGGAUUUAUUGGGUUUAAAGGGUGCGUAGGCGGUUUUGUAAGUCAGUGGUGAAAUACUCUAGCUUAACUAGAGGGGUGCCAAUGAUACUGCGGAACUUGAGUACAGAUGAGGUAGGCGGAAUUGACGGUGUAGCGGUGAAAUGCAUAGAUAUCGUCAAGAACACCGAUAGCGAAGGCAGCUUACUGGGCUGUAACUGACGCUGAUGCACGAAAGUGUGGGGAUCAAACAGG